rnacentral:rRNA from 1 species
CUUGGGUACUCGAGUGGCGAACGGGUGAGUAACACGUGGGUGAUCUGCCCUGCACUUCGGGAUAAGCCUGGGAAACUGGGUCUAAUACCGGAUAGGAGCCAUCUUUAGUGUGGUGGUUGGAAAGUUUUUUCGGUGUAGGAUGAGCUCGCGGCCUAUCAGCUUGUUGGUGGGGUAAUGGCCUACCAAGGCGGCGACGGGUAGCCGGCCUGAGAGGGUGUACGGCCACAUUGGGACUGAGAUACGGCCCAG